rnacentral:rRNA from 1 species
AUUGAACGCUGGCGGCAUGCCUUACACAUGCAAGUCGAACGGUAACGCGGGGCAACCUGGCGACGAGUGGCGAACGGGUGAGUAAUGCAUCGGAACGUGCCCAGAAGUGGGGGAUAGCCCGGCGAAAGCCGGAUUAAUACCGCAUGAGACCUGAGGGUGAAAGCGGGGGAUCGCAAGACCUCGCGCUUUUGGAGCGGCCGAUGUCAGAUUAGCUAGUUGGUGGGGUAAAGGCCUACCAAGGCGACGAUCUGUAGCUGGUCUGAGAGGACGACCAGCCACACUGGGACUGAGACACGGGCCAGACUCCUACGGGAGGCAGCAGUGGGGAAUUUUGGACAAUGGGCGCAAGCCUGAUCCAGCCAUGCCGCGUGCGGGAAGAAGGCCUUCGGGUUGUAAACCGCUUUUGUCAGGGAAGAAACGCUCUGGGCUAAUACCCUGGGGUAAUGACGGUACCUGAAGAAUAAGCACCGGCUAACUACGUGCCAGCAGCCGCCGCCG